GUCUUUUUGAAAAUAAAUUUAAAGUCUGACCUGCCCACUGAAAUUUUUAAAGGGCCGCGGUAUUUUGACCGUGCAAAGGUAGCAUAAUCAUUAGUUUUUUAAUUGAAAGCUUGUAUGAAUGGUUGGACGAAAUACUUACUGUCUCAUAAAAAUUUAAAAUAGAAAUUAAUUUUUUUAUUAAAAAGUAAAAAUAAAAUUAAAAGACGAGAAGACCCUAUAGAGCUUUAUAAUUUAAUAUUUAUAGAUUUUUAAGAAUUUUUUUAUUUUUAAAUAUUAAAUUAUUUUGUUGGGGUGACAAUAAAAUUUAAUAAACUUUUAUUUUAUACAAACAUUGAUUUAUGAAUAUUUGAUCCUUUAUUAAUGAUUAAAAAUUUAAGUUACCUUAGGGAUAACAGCGUAAUUUUUUUUGAGAGUUCAUAUCGACAAAAAAGAUUGCGACCUCGAUGUUGGAUUAAGAAUUAUUUUUAGGUGUAGAAGUUUAAAGUUUAGGUCUGUUCGACCUUUGAAUUCUU
rnacentral:rRNA from 1 species